CAGUAGCCGCGGGAAUACGUAAGGUCCGAGCGUUGUCCGGAAUCAUUGGGCGUAAAGGGUACGUAGGCGGAUAAGCAAGUUAGAAGUGAAAUCCUAUAGCUCAACUAUAGUAAGCUUUUAAAACUGCUUAUCUUGAGGUAUGGAAGGGAAAGUGGAAUUCCUAGUGUAGCGGUGAAAUGCGCAGAUAUUAGGAGGAAUACCGGUGGCGAAGGCGACUUUCUGGCCAUAAACUGACGCUGAGGUACGAAAGCGUGGGUAGCAAACAGGAUUAGAUACCCCGGUAGUCCCUGUCUCUUAUACA
rnacentral:rRNA from 1 species